rnacentral:rRNA from 1 species
GGAGGGGUUCGCGCACCAUCAGCUUGUUGGCGGGGUAACGGCCCACCAAGGCCUACGGUUAGCUGGUCUGAGAGGAUGACCAACCCCACUGGGACUGAGAUACUGCCCAGACUCCUACGGGAGGCUGCAGUCGAGGAUCAUUUGCAAUGGGCGAAAGCCUGACAAUGCGACGCUGCGUGGAGGAUGAAGGCCUUCGGGUUGUAAACUCCUGUCAUAGGGGAACAGGCGAGGGGUGCUAAUACCACCUUAAGUUGAGUGUACCCUAAGAGGAAUUGGCGGCUAACUCUGUGCCAGCAGCCGCGGUAAUACGGAGGAUGCAAGCGUUAUCCGGAUUUAUUGGGUUUAAAGGGUGCGUAGGCGGAGCGCUAAGUCAGCGGUGAAAUAUCCCGGCUCAACCGGGAGGCUGCCGUUGAUACUGGCGUUCUCGAGUCCGAACGGCGCCGGCGGAAUGUGUCAUGUAGCGGGUGAAAUGCAUAGAUAUGACACAGAACACCGAUCGCGAAGGCAGCUGGCGAGGACGUGACUGACGCUGAGGCACGAAAGCGUGGGGAUCAAACAGGAUUAGAUACCCUGGUAGUCCACGCAGUAAACGAUGAUGACUUGUUGUCGGCGAUACAAUGUCGGUGACAAAGCGAAAGCGAUAAGUCAUCCACCUGGGGAGUACGAUCGCAAGGUUGAAACUCAAAGGAAUUGACGGGGGCCCGCACAAGCGGAGGAGCAUGUGGUUUAAUUCGAUGUUACGCGAGGAACCUUACCCAGACUCAAAUGUAGAGCGACCGUUCCAGAGAUGGGACUUUCCUUCGGGACGCUCUGCAAGGUGCUGCAUGGUUGUCGUCAGCUCGUGCCGUGAGGUGUCAGGUUAAGUCCUAUAACGAGCGCAACCCCUACGUCCAGUUGCCAGCGGGUAAGGCCGGGGACUCUGGAGGGACUGCCGGCGCAAGCCGAGAGGAAGGUGGGGAUGACGUCAAAUCAGCACGGCCCUUACGUCUGGGGCGACACACGUGCUACAAUGGCCGGUACAGAGGGCAGCCACCUGGCGACAGGGAGCGAAUCUCGAAAGCCGGUCUCAGUUCGGAUCGGAGUCUGCAACCCGACUCCGUGAAGUUGGAUUCGCUAGUAAUCGCGCAUCAGCCAUGGCGCGGUGAAUACGUUCCCGGGCCUUGUACACACCGCCCGUCAAG